AGGAUGCAGUUAUAAGGCACUAAAGGAUAUUCUAUGGCCAGAUUUUCAGUUAAAGGACUCUGCUUAAAACUAACUAAAUAGUCAACUAUUGGAUUUGAAAUCAAAUGGUGCGGUUGAGCUUCCAAGGACAAACAUGCUCAUCAGCGGAAGUGUGCACACAUAACGGUGUGCUUGUUGUUUGAAUUAAAAACGCAUAGAAAUCCAUAGCGCUAUCUAUAUUCUCCACAUAUAAAAACGAUGCCUUUCACCAAGACCAGAAAACUAAUAAACAUAAAAAAG
rnacentral:misc_RNA from 1 species